CGUCAGGCUAAACAAAGCUUUGCAUAGACUAUGACGUAGCUACGAUGUGGAAACUACACACGUUUAUAAAUUACACCAAAGCCCACAGUGUGGCUUAACAGAAGCAACAACAUGCUGCGCAGACUGAUUGAUGAAACCAAGAGGGUCCGCAGUUGUUAGAUACAGAGACAAAGAGCAGGAUUGGAACCACAAAUCUCAGAAAACCAGAGGGUUCGGACCAUGAAAAAUCACACCUUUGGUCUACUCAAUUUUGCUUGCUCCAGGAGGAAAAUAACUGACAUCAGGACAUUUUUGAGAAUGCUGCCACCUGUUGGAAAGUAUUUAUAUUUAUAAGGCAAAAAUGAGACCAAAGCAAAUUCUAGUGUGUUCAUUUGACGUAUGUACUUAUAUUGCUUUUAAAGAUUGUGAUUAUAUAUUUUCAUUGUUUUGUGCUAACUCUUUUAAACGUAAUCUAAAUCUGUCUGAAUAUCACCAUUAUUUGCUGGAAAAUACUGACAACUAUUUUGUAAUGUAAAUUAAAAUAAUUAAAAUUACUAAUAUUAAAUAGCAUGAUUUUGGCUGUAGCUGAUGGAUAAUCAAUUGAACAAAAUCACACUAGCAUACAUUUAGAAAAAAAUUCAACUUUACUGCAUAAAUAAUCAGUGUUGGGGAAAGUUACUUUUAAAAGUAAUGCAUUACAAUAUUAAGUUACUUUCUUAAAAAGUAACUAAUUGCGUUACUUAGUUACUUUUCAUGGAAAGUAAUGCUUAUGUUACUUUUGUGUUAUUUUUUCUUACUUUGCAUGUGUUUUUAUGACUGAGAAGUUCUGCAUUCAGAAAUUGCAUAUUGCUAUUUCCAUAGCAAAAAUGUCAAACUCUGGUCUGCCAUCUCCAUUUCUGACUGAAACUGUUCACACAAAGAGUGUGUAAUUCCACGUUAAUACGUUCAGUUUAUUGCAGUACAUUGUUUUUUUUUAACAUCUAAUAAACUGAAA